rnacentral:rRNA from 1 species
CCUACGGGAGGCAGCAGUAGGGAAUAUUGCUCAAUGGGGGAAACCCUGAAGCAGCAACGCCGCGUGGAGGAUGAAGGUUUUAGGAUUGUUAACUCCUUUUGUGAGAGAAGAUAAUGACGGUAUCUCACGAAUAAGCACCGGCUAACUCCGUGCCAGCAGCCGCGGUAAUACGGAGGGUUCACGCGGUACUCGGAAUCACUGGGGGGAAAGAGUGCGGCGGCGGGCUUGUAAGGCAGGUGGGAAAUCCUGUGGCUUAACUACAGAACUGCAGUUGAAACUAUGGGUCUAGAGUGUGGGGGGGGUAGGUGGAAUUCUUGGUGUAGGGGUAAAAUCCGUAGAUAUCAAGCGGAAUACUCAUUGCGAAGGCGACCUACUGGAACAUAACUGACGCUCAUGCACGAAAGCGUGGGGAGCAAACAGGAUUAGAUACCCGGGUAGUC